GAUGAACGCUGGCGGCGUGCCUAAUACAUGCAAGUCGAGCGAACGGACGAGAAGCUUGCUUCUCUGAUGUUAGCGGCGGAAGGGGGAGUAACACGUGGAUAACCUACCUAUAAGACUGGGAUAACUUCGGGAAACCGGAGCUAAUACCGGAUAAUAUUUUGAACCGCAUGGUUCAAAAGUGAAAGACGGUCUUGCUGUCACUUAUAGAUGGAUCUGCUCUUCAUUAUCUAGUUGGUAAGGUAACGGCUUACCAAGGCAACGAUGCAUAGCCGACCUGAGAGGGUGAACAGCCACACUGGAACUGAGACACGGUCCAGACUCCUACGGGAGGCAGCAGUAGGGAAUCUUCCGCAAUGGGCGAAAGCCUGACGGAGCAACGCCGCGUGAGUGAUGAAGGUCUUCGGAUCGUAAAACUCUGUUAUUAGGGAAGAACAUAUGUGUAAGUAACUGUGCACAUCUUGACGGUACCUAAUCAGAAAGCCACGGCUAACUACGUG
rnacentral:rRNA from 1 species